rnacentral:rRNA from 1 species
GAACGCUGGCGGCGUGCCUAAUACAUGCAAGUCGAGCGGACUGAAUGGGAGCUUGCUCUUGUUCGGUCAGCGGCGGACGGGUGAGUAACACGUGGGCAACCUGCCCGCAAGACCGGGAUAACUCCGGGAAACCGGAGCUAAUACCGGAUAACACCGAAGACCGCAUGGUCUUUGGUUGAAAGGCGGCGCAAGCUGCCACUUGCGGAUGGGCCCGCGGCGCAUUAGCUAGUUGGUGAGGUAACGGCUCACCAAGGCGACGAUGCGUAGCCGGCCUGAGAGGGUGACCGGCCACACUGGGACUGAGACACGGCCCAGACUCCUACGGGAGGCAGCAGUAGGGAAUCUUCCGCAAUGGGCGAAAGCCUGACGGAGCGACGCCGCGUGAGCGAAGAAGGCCUUCGGGUCGUAAAGCUCUGUUGUGAGGGACGAAGGAGCGUCGUUCGAAGAAGGCGGCGCGGUGACGGUACCUCACGAGGAAGCCCCGGCUAACUACGUGCCAGCAGCCGCGGUAAUACGUAGGGGGCGAGCGUUGUCCGGAAUUAUUGGGCGUAAAGCGCGCGCAGGCGGUUCCUUAAGUCUGAUGUGAAAGCCCACGGCUCAACCGUGGAGGGUCAUUGGAAACUGGGGGACUUGAGUGCAGGAGAGGAGAGCGGAAUUCCACGUGUAGCGGUGAAAUGCGUAGAGAUGUGGAGGAACACCAGUGGCGAAGGCGGCUCUCUGGCCUGCAACUGACGCUGAGGCGCGAAAGCGUGGGGAGCNAACAGGAUUAGAUACCCUGGUAGUCCACGCCGUAAACGAUGAGUGCUAAGUGUUAGAGGGUNNCRCCCCUUAGUGCUGCAGCUAACGCAUUAAGCACUCCGCCUGGGGAGUAC